GAGAUAACUGAUGACACUUGGAGAGGGAGAUAGUUUGGUUAAGAAAAAAAAGGGAACAGCCAAAUCCAAUGUGGUUUUGGAUUGAAAAUUAAAAGAAGAGGGAACCUCUUUGAUUUGGGUCUCUCUUCUAUACGAAAAUGCACGGGAGACCUCGCAAACCUUUGAAACCAGAAGAUGAAGCAGCUUCAGAUGCCAGAGCACAGAAGCUUCGCGCUUUCCAAUCUCAAUUCCUCCACAAUUAUCACAAAAAUAUCUACACAAAAGAAGCUGUAGACCUGAGCUCCAAGCUUCCCCGAAUCAUCCACAGCUUGGAACUAUAGGAAGCUCGCUCUUCAGCACAACCUGAGUCAGUCGGAGUCCGAUCCUCACUUGUUCAAAUCACUUCUUGAUGAAGAACUGAGAGUGAUAACAUCCAGCCAGGAAUCUUUACUGAGCCGCUGCUUCCAUUAUAGAGACUUGGCAUUCUCACAUAUUGGAAAUCCAAUUUGUCUAUGACUAAACAAUUUAUCAUUAUCACGAACAGAGUCUUUUGAAAAAUUAUUGUGGAUCCUAAUGCUAGACCUCAGCCACAAUGAUCUUUCAUCAACUGAAGUGAAGCUACUUUCAAUGCUUUGCUUUGGACCUUGGUUCUUGAGCUGGAGAGAUAACAUCCAGCCACGAAACUUUACUGAGCCACUGCUUCCAUUAUAGAGAUUUGGCAUUCUCACAUAUUGGAAAUCCAAUUUGUCUAUGACUGAACAAUUUAUCAUUAUAACAAACAGUCUCUUUUGGAAAAUUAUUUGGAUCCUAAUGCUAUUCCUCAGCCACAAUGAUCUUUCAUCAACUGAAGUUAAGCUACUUUCAAUGCUUUGCUUUGGACCUUGGUUCUUGAACUGGAGAGGUGUUAAACUGAUUUGUGAAUAUUCAACUUCAUUUAUAUAUUCAUGCCACUGAGAUUUUUUCCUUUCCCUUUCUGUGUUUUUCUUGCUCAAUGUAAAAGUCUAUGUUCUCAAUUGAUUAUCCCUAACUUCAUGAGUCAUCCGUUUACCUUAAUUCAAAAAAUAACUUACCCAAUAUCAGUUUUCAACCUAUCUGUCUACAAGUUUGAUCCCUGAGGUCAAUCUUUUCCACGUAUAUUCACCCAUGAACGGAAUUUUUUGCAUUUGAAUAGCUUAGUGAACCUAAUAGAGUAGAUCAUUCUGUGGUGACAUAUGUGUAUCAGUUGGAUAUUUCAAGUGAAUGAUUCUGCGUCUAGAAUUCCGAGACUUUGAAUUUAACAUGGGACGAUAGGUGCUUAUGUGAAGGUGGUAACUAGUAAUCUGGUAUGUCAUUCCUCUUGUUAGUUAUUUUAGUCAUGAUAAACCAUUGAAGCAUGUAAUUUCAUGGUGUUUAACAUUCUCUGGUAUAGAAUGAAAUCAUAACUGUCUGCUUUAUGAUUCAUUUAGUUCUUAAUAGCCUUCCUUAUAUUGUGAACUUUUUUUGAGUUUUAUGGCAGGACUGGAGACUAUGCAGCUCCUCUCUUGCUUAAAUUUGAGUAGCAAUAAGCUAGGUAGUUUUACUGCUCUGGAGCCUCUAAGACUGCUGAAAUCAUUGAAAGUUCUAAAUAUUUUAUAUAAUGAGAUUGGUGCACAGUCCAUUGACACAACAAGUUUUGGAUGAGAUCACCAAGUUUGCAAGAUCACCACUGAUUUCCGUGCAACAGCCAUCAGCAGCUUUGUUCACAAUUCUUGCCUACUGGAAUGAAAGCCAGGUAACUUUUUGUGAUAUUCAUAGACAACUUUUUGUCAGAGGCCAUGCUUAUGCAAAUGUUGUGUCUGUUAGAGUAGGGUAGAGUUAUCAAACUGAUAAGAAAAUGAAAAGGAAGUUUUAAAUGCUAAUUGCGAGGCUAACCAACACUGGUUAGUCACAAUGAUUUUGUACCACUACAUAAACAGUCAUCUGUCUUGGAUGAAAUUGAUCCAGUAAAUGCAACCCAAAAUAGAGUAGACUGUAUAAAAGACACGUACUAAAGAAUGGAUAAAAUUCUAAACCUGUAAAGAUUUCAAAACAAAGAAAUGGAGCAAUUUGAUCAUCAAAGCGAUGAAGCCAUCGCGAAAAAUUAUUGUCGCAGUACCACAUUGAGCCGCGGAUUCAGGCAACAUGGUUAAUAGCUAUAAUGCAAUGUAGUAAAUCCAAAGCCAACAAUGACAAUUUAGGAUGUAAAAAUUAGUAACCCAGAUUCUCUUUAAACUGGCUGCUGUCAGCCGGAAACUGAGCCAAUGGGGUGCAGUAAGCUGAAGCCAUGUUAGCCAAUGCUAUGCAUUGACAUGUUUUAGUACCAAUGAUUAAAUGUUACUUUAUUCAAAAUCACUUAAUAACAUGUAAGAGUAGAUAUACGCCAAGCCAAGCUUAAAUAAGGUAAAGUUUGUUUUCGAUUUGGGCUUGCCAAACAUAAAGAAAUACUAAUUCGUGUUCAAUUUAUUUCCUAAUUAACUUACACCUAGCUUAAGUUCGUGUGGACAAGUUGGACUUGCUUUAAAUUCGCACGAGAUGUUGAUUUAACUCUUUUAAACAAUGUUAUUCCUGUUUUUCUUUUUAAUGAUGUGAACCAAACAUGAUUCGGGUUUGUUUUCUUUACUAUUCAUCAUCUUGUAUUCAAGUUUCUAUUCAUUUACCUCACUUGUAUUAAGAUUUAUUUGAGCAAAAUUUAUUUCGAAUCUAACCCUAAUGCUACAUUAUCUAUUUUCCUGAUUAUGUACUAAAAAAUUAUAUGCACCUAAUUUUAUUGAAACAGUAUUUUAAUAGAAAUCCUUUUUUUGUUCUAAGACUGAAAUGAAUAUAAGUAAAAUAGUUUACUUUAAUUUAAGAUAUAAAAAUAUUUAUCUUGAAUAAAAUAAAUAUUCACUUAAACCAAACAAUAUCUAGCUAACUCGACCAAAUACGCUUGUAUAUCCCAGUUAACUCAAUAAUAGCAUUGAUAUCGAAAUAUUCACUAAUUAUUCAACAAUCAGCAAAGGGAAAUGCAAGUAGCUUACCCGUUAGACGGUUACAAAUUAUUUUCAUAUUUAGUCCUGUUAUUUUAACAGCAUUAUCAUUAAGGGAUGGAUCUGGUAACGAAUUUAUAGAUGUUUUGGUCGGAUCUGAAACUGAGUAACAACCUGGGGAGAGAAGGCUGCCACAAACAGAACCUGAUGGAAUACCCAUAAAACACUGAGGUUAGAUAUAAGCAACACAUCUACACUUGCCUGUUAGUAUAACAUAAUAUUUGUAGGGGUUCCUUUCAGCUUUCUGUAGGGUUAUUAAAAUCUCCCAAUCAAGCACAUACUGUAUUUUCAAUAUUUGUGAUAGUGGCUUCUGCCGUGUUAUUAUUAUCCACCCAUUUGAAUCAUCUGGACUGGAGACUCUUCAGCAACUUCUUUAGUGACUCUACUAUAUUAGCAAAAGACAGGCGCUGAGCAGGUUCGCUGUCAAACCCAAAAUAAAUGACUAUCAAAACUCUUCUUCACUACUUUGAACUUAAAUUCUACAAAGGGUAAUACUAUGUACACAAACAAUAACCACAAUCAAUGAUAUAUUAUUAUGUGAUUAUGUGUUAUUUUAUCUCUAAUUCAAAAUCACUGAAUCAUAUAAUGAUAUAUCAUUGUUUUUGCAUAAACUUGUAUUCAUUGUAUGUGCGCAUAGUUUUAUUGUUCUACAUAAACAAGACAUAUCGAGUUUUAAAAGAGUUUGAAUAUUCCUUGCUCUUAAUUGAAGAGAAUCUUAGCAAUGUAUAAUGUAAGUCUAUCAAACUUAAGCACACUUACUCAGACCAGCAAGAUUCCAUGAGGGAAGCCAACUCUGGGGAUGUGUUAGGUGGGAUUGUAAGCCUUCUGUUUUGGAAAGCAACGGCUCCAACAACCUGAAAAUUUGUAUUGUUAUGUUGUUUGUGUCAGUAUCAAUUUGAAAAACAAAAUUGAAUAAUAAGGCUAGUGGGAGAAGGAUCAUUUCACUGUC